rnacentral:sRNA from 1 species
GUCACUGCAAAUUCAGUGGCCGGGUGUAGGAACCCGAGUAAGCAAAAGGCGCCCAGCGCCCAGAACUCUAUCUCAGGCGUUUUUUU